GCGACUGUUUACUAAAAACACAGGUCCGUGCCAAGUCGCAAGACGAUGUAUACGGACUGACGCCUGCCCGGUGCUGGAAGGUUAAGAGGACCGGUUAGCCGCAAGGCGAAGCUGAGAAUUUAAGCCCCAGUAAACGGCGGUGGUAACUAUAACCAUCCUAAGGUAGCGAAAUUCCUUGUCGGGUAAGUUCCGACCUGCACGAAUGGCGUAACGACUUCCCAACUGUCUCAACCGCGAACUCGGCGAAAUUGCAUUACGAGUAAAGAUGCUCGUUACGCGCAGCAGGACGGAAAGACCCCGUGACCUUUACUAUAGCUUUGUAUUGGUGUUCGGUGUGGCUUGUGUAGGAUAGGUGGGAGACUUUGAAGCGGUGACGCCAGUUACCGUGGAGUCAUUGUUGAAAUACCACUCUGGUCACUCUGGAUAUCUAACUUCGAACCGUAAUCCGGUUCAGGGACAGUGCAUGGUGGGUAGUUUAACUGGGGCGGUUGCCUCCCAAAAAGUAACGGAGGCGCCCAAAGGUUCCCUCAACCUGGUUGGCAAUCAGGUGGCGAGUGUAAGUGCACAAGGGAGCUUGACUGUGAGACUGACAGGUCGAGCAGGGACGAAAGUCGGGACUAGUGAUCCGGCAGUGGCUUGUGGAAGCGCUGUCGCUCAACGGAUAAAAGGUACCUCGGGGAUAACAGGCUGAUCUUGCCCAAGAGUCCAUAUCGACGGCAUGGUUUGGCACCUCGAUGUCGGCUCGUCGCAUCCUGGGGCUGGAGUAGGUCCCAAGGGUUGGGCUGUUCGCCCAUUAAAGCGGUACGCGAGCUGGGUUUAGAACGUCGUGAGACAGUUCGGUCCCUAUCCGCUGCGCGCGUAGGAAAUUUGAGAGGAUCUGACCCUAGUAC
rnacentral:ncRNA from 1 species